rnacentral:tRNA from 1 species
UGGCUCAGAUGGUAAAGCAUCUGCCUGCGAUGCAGAGGACCUGGGUUCGAUCCCCUG